AGCCAUGUAGCUCAAGGGUUAGAGCGCCCAUGCGUCAUCUCUUGACAAUAACAUUCAUUGUAGAUGCGAGUUCGACUCUUGCCAUGGCUA